CCAAGGAGUCUAACAUGUGCGCAAGUCGCUGAGUCUUGUGUAGGCUCGGAGGCGCAAUGAAAGUGAAGGCCGAUCUGGGCGUCGGCUGCGGUGUGAUCCACCGGGCACUAUCCCGUCGCUCCCCAAGGGAAGGCGGGGCCCGUGGCGCAACACCGGCCCGUCCCGUCCGCAACGUCGGUGGGGCGGAGCGAGAGCGUACACGUUGGGACCCGAAAGAUGGUGAACUAUGCCUGGGCAGGACGAAGCCAGAGGAAACUCUGGUGGAGGUCCGCAGCGAUUCUGACGUGCAAAUCGAUCGUCAGACCUGGGUAUAGGGGCGAAA
rnacentral:rRNA from 1 species